rnacentral:rRNA from 1 species
GACGAACGCUUGCGGCGUGCUUAACACAUGCAAGUCGAACGGAAAGGCCCUGCUUUUGUGGGGUGCUCGAGUGGCGAACGGGUGAGUAACACGUGAGUAACCUGCCCUUGACUUUGGGAUAACUUCAGGAAACUGGGGCUAAUACCGGAUAGGAGCUCCUGCUGCAUGGUGGGGGUUGGAAAGUUUCGGCGGUUGGGGAUGGACUCGCGGCUUAUCAGCUUGUUGGUGGGGUAGUGGCUUACCAAGGCUUUGACGGGUAGCCGGCCUGAGAGGGUGACCGGCCACAUUGGGACUGAGAUACGGCCCAGACUCCUACGGGAGGCAGCAGUGGGGAAUAUUGCACAAUGGGCGGAAGCCUGAUGCAGCAACGCCGCGUGCGGGAUGACGGCCUUCGGGUUGUAAACCGCUUUCGCCUGUGACGAAGCGUGAGUGACGGUAAUGGGUAAAGAAGCACCGGCUAACUACGUGCCAGCAGCCGCGGUGAUACGUAGGGUGCGAGCGUUGUCCGGAUUUAUUGGGCGUAAAGGGCUCGUAGGUGGUUGAUCGCGUCGGAAGUGUAAUCUUGGGGCUUAACCCUGAGCGUGCUUUCGAUACGGGUUGACUUGAGGAAGGUAGGGGAGAAUGGAAUUCCUGGUGGAGCGGUGGAAUGCGCAGAUAUCAGGAGGAACACCAGUGGCGAAGGCGGUUCUCUGGGCCUUUCCUGACGCUGAGGAGCGAAAGCGUGGGGAGCGAACAGGCUUAGUUACCCUGGUAGUCCACGCUGUAAACGGUGGGUACUAGGUGUGGGGUCCAUUCCACGGGUUCCGUGCCGUAGCUAACGCUUUAAGUACCCCGCCUGGGGAGUACGGCCGCAAGGCUAAAACUCAAAGGAAUUGACGGGGCCCCGCACAAGCGGCGGAGCAUGCGGAUUAAUUCGAUGCAACGCGUAGAACCUUACCUGGGUUUGACAUGGAUCGGGAGUGCUCAGAGAUGGGUGUGCCUCUUUUGGGGUCGGUUCACAGGUGGUGCAUGGCUGUCGUCAGCUCGUGUCGUGAGAUGUUGGGUUAAGUCCCGCAACGAGCGCAACCCUUGUUCACUGUUGCCAGCACGUUAUGGUGGGGACUCAGUGGAGACCGCCGGGGUCAACUCGGAGGAAGGUGGGGAUGACGUCAAGUCAUCAUGCCCCUUAUGUCCAGGGCUUCACGCAUGCUACAAUGGCUGGUACAGAGAGUGGCGAGCCUGUGAGGGUGAGCGAAUCUCGGAAAGCCGGUCUCAGUUCGGAUUGGGGUCUGCAACUCGACCUCAUGAAGUCGGAGUCGCUAGUAAUCGCAGAUCAGCAACGCUGCGGUGAAUACGUUCCCGGGGCU